rnacentral:rRNA from 1 species
UACAGAGGGUGCAAGCGUUAAUCGGAAUUACUGGGCGUAAAGCGCGCGUAGGCGGUUGUGUAAGUUGGAUGUGAAAUCCCCGGGCUUAACCUGGGAAUGGCAUUCAAAACUGCACGGCUAGAGUGUGGGAGAGGAAGGUAGAAUUCCAGGUGUAGCGGUGAAAUGCGUAGAGAUCUGGAGGAAUGCCGAUGGCGAAGGCAGCCUUCUGGCCUAACACUGACGCUGAGGUGCGAAAGCAUGGGGAGCAAACAGG